rnacentral:rRNA from 1 species
AGUCGAGCGAGGGACUUCGGUCCCUAGCGGCGGACGGGUGAGUAACACGUGGGUAACCUGCCUCAUAGAGGGGGAUAGCCUCCCGAAAGGGAGAUUAAUACCGCAUAUUAUCAUGCUGACGCAUGUCAGAAUGAUGAAAGGAGUAAUCCGCUAUGAGAUGGACCCGCGGCGCAUUAGCUAGUUGGUGAGGUAAAGGCUCACCAAGGCGACGAUGCGUAGCCGACCUGAGAGGGUGAUCGGCCACAUUGGAACUGAGACACGGUCCAGACUCCUACGGGAGGCAGCAGUGGGGAAUAUUGCACAAUGGGCGAAAGCCUGAUGCAGCAACGCCGCGUGAGUGAUGAAGGCCUUCGGGUUGUAAAGCUCUGUCUUUUGGGACGAUAAUGACGGUACCAAAGGAGGAAGCCACGGCUAACUACGUGCCAGCAGCCGCGGUAAUACGUAGGCGGCAAGCGUUGUCCGGAUUUACUGGGCGUAAAGGAUGCGUAGGUGGAUAUUUAAGUGGGAUGUGAAAUACCCGAGCUCAACUUGGGUGCUGCAUUCCAAACUGGAUAUCUAGAGUGCAGGAGAGGUAAGUGGAAUUCCUAGUGUAGCGGUGGAAUGCGUAGAGAUUAGG